CCUACGGGAGGCAGCAGUGAGGAAUAUUGGUCAAUGGACGAGAGUCUGAACCAGCCAAGUAGCGUGAAGGAUGACUGCCCUAUGGGUUGUAAACUUCUUUUAUAUGGGAAUAAAAUGUUCCACGUGUGGGAUUUUGUAUGUACCAUAUGAAUAAGGAUCGGCUAACUCCGUGCCAGCAGCCGCGGUAAUACGGAGGAUCCGAGCGUUAUCCGGAUUUAUUGGGUUUAAAGGGUGCGUAGGUGGAUUGUUAAGUCAGUUGUGAAAGUUUGCGGCUCAACCGUAGAAUUGCAGUUGAAACUGGCAGUCUUGAGUACAGUAGAGGUGGGCGGAAUUCGUGGUGUAGCGGUGAAAUGCUUAGAUAUCACGAAGAACUCCGAUUGCGAAGGCAGUUCACUGGACUGCAACUGACACUGAGGCUCGAAAGUGUGGGUAUCAAACAGGAUUAGAUACCCCUGUAGUC
rnacentral:rRNA from 1 species